UCUAGGUACUUCAAAUACUCUAGAUCAACUCUAACGGAGCCGAUCGUCAAUUCGAAAGUCCGAACAUCAAAAAUAACUUGGAAGCACGGAGGGCUCCGUGCUUCCAUAAGCAUGCCAGCCCACUCUCUCUCUCUCUCUCUAUAUAUAUAUAUAUAUAUAUAAUUGAGCUAGAAUACUUUUAGAAGCACCAUCUCAUUGGUGCUUCUAAGUUUCUAGCCCUUGGAUCUACUCUUUGAUUACUGAUUAAUUAGUUCACGUGCAU
rnacentral:lncRNA from 1 species